GACGAACGCUGGCGGCAGGCUUAACACAUGCAAGUCGAACGCCCCGCAAGGGGAGUGGCAGACGGGUGAGUAACGCGUGGGAACAUACCCUUUUCUACGGAAUAGCUCUGGGAAACUGGAAUUAAUACCGUAUACGCCCUACGGGGGAAAGAUUUAUCGGGGAAGGAUUGGCCCGCGUUGGAUUAGCUAGUUGGUGGGGUAAAGGCCUACCAAGGCGACGAUCCAUAGCUGGUCUGAGAGGAUGAUCAGCCACAUUGGGACUGAGACACGGCCCAAACUCCUACGGGAGGCAGCAGUGGGGAAUAUUGGACAAUGGGCGCAAGCCUGAUCCAGCCAUGCCGCGUGAGUGAUGAAGGCCUUAGGGUUGUAAAGCUCUUUCACCGAUGAAGAUAAUGACGGUAGUCGGAGAAGAAGCCCCGGCUAACUUCGUGUCAGCAGCCGCGGUAACAC
rnacentral:rRNA from 1 species